AUUGAACGCUGGCGGCAGGCCUAACACAUGCAAGUCGAGCGGAUGAAGGGAGCUUGCUCCUGGAUUCAGCGGCGGACGGGUGAGUAAUGCCUAGGAAUCUGCCUGGUAGUGGGGGAUAACGUCCGGAAACGGGCGCUAAUACCGCAUACGUCCUGAGGGAGAAAGUGGGGGAUCUUCGGACCUCACGCUAUCCGAUGAGACUAGGUCGGAUUAGCUAGUUGGUGGGGUAAAGGCCUACCAAGGCGACGAUCCGCAACUGGUCUGAGAGGAUGAGCAGUCACACGGGAACUGAGACACGGUCCAGACUCCUACGGGAGGAAGCAGUGGGGAAUAUUGGACAAUGGGCGAAAGCCUGAUCCAGCCAUGCGGCGUGUGUGAAGAAGGUCUUCGGAUUGUAAAGCACUUUAAGUUGGGAGGAAGGGCAGUAAGUUAAUACCUUGCUGUUUUGACGUUACCAACAGAAUAAGCACCGGCUAACUUCGUG
rnacentral:rRNA from 1 species